AUUGAACGCUGGCGGCAGGCCUAACACAUGCAAGUCGAACGGUAGCACAGAGAGCUUGCUCUUGGGUGACGAGUGGCGGACGGGUGAGUAAUGUCUGGGAAACUGCCCGAUGGAGGGGGAUAACUACUGGAAACGGUAGCUAAUACCGCAUAACGUCUUCGGACCAAAGUGGGGGACCUUCGGGCCUCACACCAUCGGAUGUGCCCAGAUGGGAUUAGCUAGUAGGUGGGGUAAUGGCUCACCUAGGCGACGGUCCCUAGCUGGUCUGAGAGGAUGACCAGCCACCCUGGAACUGAGACACGGUCCAGACUCCUACGGGAGGCAGCAGUGGGGAAUAUUGCACAAUGGGCGCAAGCCUGAUGCAGCCAUGCCGCGUGUAUGAAGAAGGCCUUCGGGUUGUAAAGUACUUUCAGCGGGGAGGAAGGCGAUGGAGUUAAUAGCUUCAUCGAUUGACGUUACCCGCAGAAGAAGCACCGGCUAACUCCGUGCCAGCCGCCGCAGUAA
rnacentral:rRNA from 1 species